rnacentral:rRNA from 1 species
UCUUCGGAGAGUUUGAUCCUGGCUCAGGAUGAACGCUGGCGGCGUGCCUAAUACAUGCAAGUCGAGCGAACUGAUUAGAAGCUUGCUUCUAUGACGUUAGCGGCGGACGGGUGAGUAACACGUGGGAAACCUGCCUGUAAGAAUAGGAAAACUUCGGAAAACCGAAGCUAA